rnacentral:rRNA from 1 species
GAGUAAUGCCUAGGAAAUUGCCUUGAUGUGGGGGAUAACCAUUGGAAACGAUGGCUAAUACCGCAUAAUGCCUACGGGCCAAAGAGGGGGAUCUUCGGACCUCUCGCGUCAAGAUAUGCCUAGGUGGGAUUAGCUAGUUGGUGAGGUAAUGGCUCACCAAGGCGACGAUCCCUAGCUGGUCUGAGAGGAUGAUCAGCCACACUGGAACUGAGACACGGUCCAGACUCCUACGGGAGGCAGCAGUGGGGAAUAUUGCACAAUGGGCGAAAGCCUGAUGCAGCCAUGCCGCGUGUAUGAAGAAGGCCUUCGGGUUGUAAAGUACUUUCAGUUGUGAGGAAGGGGGU